rnacentral:lncRNA from 13 species
CAUUAUUCUAAAAGCUUCAGCUGUAUUGUGUCAUUUAAUCCUCACCACCACCUAAGAGAUAGGCAAAGUCAUUGCCAUUGACAUUUUAGAGGAGAGAGCUGGGGCACAGAGGAGCUAGCAGAAAGCUGUGUUUAAGGUAACACAGAGUCUUGCUCCGUCACCCAGGCUGCAGUGCGGUAGUGUGAUCUUGGCUCACUACAACCUCCAUCUUCAGGGUUCAAGUGAUUCCCUUGCCUCAGCCUCCCGAGUAACUGGGACUAUAGGCACACACCACCAUACCCAGCUUUUUCCUAAUUUAGUGCCACUAUGUAAGCAGCCAACUCCUCCAGGAUGGAUCCUGGACAAUCUCCCGAAGAUCCUUGCUUCCUGUCUCCAUGGCCUCCCUAAGAACAGACAUGAGUUCUAACAACAGCAUGGCCACUUACUAGCUGUGAUAAAUCAUUCUGUCUCCCUGAACUUCAGUUUUCUCAUUCAUAGCUUCACGCCUGACAUGCCUAACUCACAGUCAACAAGAGAACACAAUGAUAAAGUUGUGGAGAUGUGAAAGUGUUUUGAGAAAUACGAAGUUCUGUGUGAAUGAUCAGUGCCUAUUCCUGAUCUCCAAAGUGAGUUUCGUCAUUUUCCUGGUCAAUCG